CAAUCUUGUACUGCGUAGAUGGUGACAUCCUCAAUGCAAUUAUUUUGCGUAAUUAACAUUUCAUAAUGCUCAAAUUACCUGCAUCUAAACUAUGAGCCCAGGACAUACAUGCCCCUGUCAGAUUAAUGCACGUUAAUGUCCCAAGCUGCACCUGCUACAAAUUUCAUGACAGCAGCUGAAAUAGCUGCCGCCCAGGUCUGUAAUUUCCACUAAUCUCAGGCAGCAUUGUAACAUGUAUGUCCCAGUAGUGCUAUUACAGUAACGCACACUUCCCUUAACCCCAAACACUGAACAUUUAAAGUACUCAUCUCAAUUAGGUCUUAAUGGAGUCUCUGGGUAAAGUCUUACUUUACGUUAUUAAAAUGAUUUUCAAUGGUUUUACUGCCCCUUCUUUGCUUGUCCACCAUACUGAGAAGAGAACGGAAUCAUUGAGAAGCAUUGGGCCACAAUAAGAGCAUUAGAUGACAGUUUCCACCAAUCACCGGCCGGUU